CCCGGAGGGCGGCGAACCACCACCUUACCAGCCUUCCGCAGGAACUAGCUGAUGAGGCGCCCGGAGGGCGGCGAACCAGCUAGUGCUUCAUAAAUAUUGAGGACCAAGGGGAGCACCUUCUUGAUCUAUGCUAACUCAAACAUAAGUCACAGCUAGGUCAUGUAUUUAAAAAUAAUAUAGUGGAAUACAGUACAACAACCUUUUGCGAUUAUUCAGACAUUUGCUUGGGGGCAGUUGUGCCAAUGCUGAAUUGUAGUUGGAAAGAUUUCACCAAGCUUCCUGGUUACUGCCAAGGUUAAUUUGAAAAAGGAACCAUCCCGACUAUUCAGUCUGGAAACCUCAGUAUUUGUAACGAUACACUUGUGAAACCACAUUAGCUCAGCUGUUUAUUUUUACUUUGCUUUCCAAUUAAUUUUUGCUUUUCCUUUCAAAUGGGUUGUACAGGUUAGAUAGAGGUCACACUUAAGUCAAUUUUACAUUGCACUUAGCACUGCACAGACUGUUGUCGACCAGCCUCACUGAUCUGUUGCUGUGGACGGAAGAAAAAUUUGUGGCUUAAGAUUUCAGAGUCUUAACGUGAUGUGAACGGCGACCCGGUGGUCCAGUGGUGAGCACUUCAACCUCACAGCGCAGAGUUCAAUUCCGAGCCUCCCUGUGUGGAGUUUGCAUGUUCUCCCCAGGCCAGCGUGGGUUUUCUCCGGGUACUCCGGUUUCCUCCCACAUUCCAAAAACAUGCAUGGCAGGUUGAUGGAACACUCUAAAUUGUCCCUAGAUGUGAGAGUGGAUGGUUGUUCGUAUUAUUUUUUUUUCCCAAGAUGGCGCCCUAGUAGGCAGCCUUCGGCAAGUGCUCUUCAAGAGCCUUGCUUUUUUUGUUGUUUUUGUCUUUUGUUUUGUCACAUGUUGUUUGUUGUUUCAUCCUGUGGACCUGAUAUGGACUGUUUUCAGCGUUUUUUGGCCACGACAUUCAUCAAAGUAGAAGUAUCUGUGCUUGGUGGUUGCACCUUCUCGUCGGCAAGCCUGUACCAGCACAGAUUUUGAUUGGGAGGAAUGUCUGCGCCAUUGACUGUCGGUGCUGGACAGACCUGGGGCGCUUGUGUUUUUUGCGCCUAAAAUGAGCAGCAUUUUUCACAACCCCGUUUUGUUCAGUGGAGAUGUCGGCGCUGUUGGACAGUCGGCGUUGGUGCGGCUGGAUGGAUGGCUGCUGAAGUUGAGGAUGAGGAGAGAGGAGCGUUGGCGAAGAGCGCCGAUGCGUAUUUGGAACCGUGAGUCGCCGCUUGGAAUUGAAAUGGAUUUCCAUGGGACAGGAGAAGUGAACCAAUCUUUUUUCGUCAAUGGAUGCUACAGCUUCUUGUUGACUUUGAAACUUAGCUUGUAGCCGACGUGUGCACAUUUUGAGCAUGACGUCUCUGAUCCACUGGUUAAAGGACACUUUGAUUCUCUCCUCUUUCAUCUCAAACUGCUUCAAACAACAAAGCGUGUGACGGAAAAGUGGU